GUUAAGCGACUAAGCGUACACGGUGGAUGCCCUGGCAGUCAGAGGCGAUGAAGGACGUGCUAAUCUGCGAUAAGCGUCGGUAAGGUGAUAUGAACCGUUAUAACCGGCGAUUUCCGAAUGGGGAAACCCAGUGUGAUUCGUCACACUAUCAUUAACUGAAUCCAUAGGUUAAUGAGGCGAACCGGGGGAACUGAAACAUCUAAGUACCCCGAGGAAAAGAAAUCAACCGAGAUUCCCCCAGUAGCGGCGAGCGAACGGGGAGGAGCCCAGAGCCUGAAUCAGUGUGUGUGUUAGUGGAAGCGUCUGGAAAGGCGCGCGAUACAGGGUGACAGCCCCGUACACAAAAAUGCACAUACUGUGAGCUCGAUGAGUAGGGCGGGACACGUGGUAUCCUGUCUGAAUAUGGGGGGACCAUCCUCCAAGGCUAAAUACUCCUGACUGACCGAUAGUGAACCAGUACCGUGAGGGAAAGGCGAAAAGAACCCCGGCGAGGGGAGUGAAAAAGAACCUGAAACCGUGUACGUACAAGCAGUGGGAGCCUCUUUAUGGGGUGACUGCGUACCUUUUGUAUAAUGGGUCAGCGACUUAUAUUCUGUAGCAAGGUUAACCGAAUAGGGGAGCCGAAGGGAAACCGAGUCUUAACUGGGCGUUAAGUUGCAGGGUAUAGACCCGAAACCCGGUGAUCUAGCCAUGGGCAGGUUGAAGGUUGGGUAACACUAACUGGAGGACCGAACCGACUAAUGUUGAAAAAUUAGCGGAUGACUUGUGGCUGGGGGUGAAAGGCCAAUCAAACCGGGAGAUAGCUGGUUCUCCCCGAAAGCUAUUUAGGUAGCGCCUCGUGAAUUCAUCUCCGGGGGUAGAGCACUGUUUCGGCAAGGGGGUCAUCCCGACUUACCAACCCGAUGCAAACUGCGAAUACCGGAGAAUGUUAUCACGGGAGACACACGGCGGGUGCUAACGUCCGUCGUGAAGAGGGAAACAACCCAGACCGCCAGCUAAGGUCCCAAAGUCAUGGUUAAGUGGGAAACGAUGUGGGAAGGCCCAGACAGCCAGGAUGUUGGCUUAGAAGCAGCCAUCAUUUAAAGAAAGCGUAAUAGCUCACUGGUCGAGUCGGCCUGCGCGGAAGAUGUAACGGGGCUAAACCAUGCACCGAAGCUGCGGCAGCGACACUGUGUGUUGUUGGGUAGGGGAGCGUUCUGUAAGCCUGUGAAGGUGUGCUGUGAGGCAUGCUGGAGGUAUCAGAAGUGCGAAUGCUGACAUAAGUAACGAUAAAGCGGGUGAAAAGCCCGCUCGCCGGAAGACCAAGGGUUCCUGUCCAACGUUAAUCGGGGCAGGGUGAGUCGACCCCUAAGGCGAGGCCGAAAGGCGUAGUCGAUGGGAAACAGGUUAAUAUUCCUGUACUUGGUGUUACUGCGAAGGGGGGACGGAGAAGGCUAUGUUGGCCGGGCGACGGUUGUCCCGGUUUAAGCGUGUAGGCUGGUUUUCCAGGCAAAUCCGGAAAAUCAAGGCUGAGGCGUGAUGACGAGGCACUACGGUGCUGAAGUGACAAAUGCCCUGCUUCCAGGAAAAGCCUCUAAGCAUCAGGUAACAACAAAUCGUACCCCAAACCGACACAGGUGGUCAGGUAGAGAAUACCAAGGCGCUUGAGAGAACUCGGGUGAAGGAACUAGGCAAAAUGGUGCCGUAACUUCGGGAGAAGGCACGCUGAUAUGUAGGUGAAGCGACUUGCUCGUGGAGCUGAAAUCAGUCGAAGAUACCAGCUGGCUGCAACUGUUUAUUAAAAACACAGCACUGUGCAAACACGAAAGUGGACGUAUACGGUGUGACGCCUGCCCGGUGCCGGAAGGUUAAUUGAUGGGGUUAGCGGUAACGCGAAGCUCUUGAUCGAAGCCCCGGUAAACGGCGGCCGUAACUAUAACGGUCCUAAGGUAGCGAAAUUCCUUGUCGGGUAAGUUCCGACCUGCACGAAUGGCGUAAUGAUGGCCAGGCUGUCUCCACCCGAGACUCAGUGAAAUUGAACUCGCUGUGAAGAUGCAGUGUACCCGCGGCAAGACGGAAAGACCCCGUGAACCUUUACUAUAGCUUGACACUGAACAUUGAGCCUUGAUGUGUAGGAUAGGUGGGAGGCUUAGAAGUGUGGACGCCAGUCUGCAUGGAGCCGACCUUGAAAUACCACCCUUUAAUGUUUGAUGUUCUAACGUUGGCCCCUUAUCGGGGUUGCGGACAGUGUCUGGUGGGUAGUUUGACUGGGGCGGUCUCCUCCUAAAGAGUAACGGAGGAGCACGAAGGUUGGCUAAUCCUGGUCGGACAUCAGGAGGUUAGUGCAAUGGCAUAAGCCAGCUUGACUGCGAGCGUGACGGCGCGAGCAGGUGCGAAAGCAGGUCAUAGUGAUCCGGUGGUUCUGAAUGGAAGGGCCAUCGCUCAACGGAUAAAAGGUACUCCGGGGAUAACAGGCUGAUACCGCCCAAGAGUUCAUAUCGACGGCGGUGUUUGGCACCUCGAUGUCGGCUCAUCACAUCCUGGGGCUGAAGUAGGUCCCAAGGGUAUGGCUGUUCGCCAUUUAAAGUGGUACGCGAGCUGGGUUUAGAACGUCGUGAGACAGUUCGGUCCCUAUCUGCCGUGGGCGCUGGAGAACUGAGGGGGGCUGCUCCUAGUACGAGAGGACCGGAGUGGACGCAUCACUGGUGUUCGGGUUGUCAUGCCAAUGGCACUGCCCGGUAGCUAAAUGCGGAAGAGAUAAGUGCUGAAAGCAUCUAAGCACGAAACUUGCCCCGAGAUGAGUUCUCCCUGACCCUUUAAGGGUCCUGAAGGAACGUUGAAGACGACGACGUUGAUAGGCCGGGUGUGUAAGCGCAGCGAUGCGUUGAGCUAACCGGUACUAAUGAACCGUGAGGCUUAACC
rnacentral:rRNA from 1 species